rnacentral:tRNA from 1 species
GGGGCUGUAGCUCAGUGGUAGAGCACUUGCCUCACAUGGGUGAGGCUCUGGGUUCGAUCCCCAGCACCA